CAGCCGCCACGGUAAUACGAAGGGGGCUAGCGUUGUUCGGAAUUACUGGGCGUAAAGCGCACGUAGGCGGAUAUUUAAGUCAGGGGUGAAAUCCCGCAGCUCAACUGCGGAACUGCCUUUGAUACUGGGUAUCUUGAGUAUGGAAGAGGUUAGUGGAAUUGCGAGUGUAGAGGUGAAAUUCGUAGAUAUUCGGAAGAACACCAGUGGCGAAGGCGACUGACUGGACAAGUAUUGACGCUGAGGUGCGAAAGCGUGGGGAGCAAACAGGAUUAGAGACCCCUGUAGUCCCUGUCUCUUAUAC
rnacentral:rRNA from 1 species